GACGAACGCUGGCGGCGUGCCUAAUACAUGCAAGUCGAGCGCAGGAAACUGACGGAACUCUUCGGAGGGAAGGCAGUGGAAUGAGCGGCGGACGGGUGAGUAACACGUAAGGAACCUGCCUCAAGGAUUGGGAUAACUCCGAGAAAUCGGAGCUAAUACCGGGUAGUUCAUCGGACCGCAUGGUCCGUUGAUGAAAGGCGCUCCGGCGUCACCUUGAGAUGGCCUUGCGGUGCAUUAGCUAGUUGGUGGGGUAACGGCCCACCAAGGCGACGAUGCAUAGCCGACCGGAGAGGGUGAUCGGCCACACUGGGACUGAGACACGGCCCAGACUCCUACGGGAGGCAGCAGUAGGGAAUCUUCCACAAUGGACGAAAGUCUGAUGGAGCAACGCCGCGUGAGUGAUGAAGGUUUUCUGAUCGUAAAACUCUGUUGUAAGGGAAGAACACGUACGAGAGGGAAUGCUCGUACCUUGACGGUACCUUACGAGAAAGCCACGGCUAACUACGUGCCAGCCGCCGCGGUAA
rnacentral:rRNA from 1 species